rnacentral:lncRNA from 1 species
CGGGAUGUUCUACGCAGAGUGAGGGCCACGCUGAAGAAUGAGUCUUCCAGCCAAGAUUCAGAAAACCGAUGACCCUCUGAAGCAAACCCUCAUGGAGAUGCUACCUGAUGACAUCAUCAGCAAAGACUUUGAAGGGGAGACUUGGAAAUAUUCAUCCUAUAUGGACACGACGAUGGACACAGGGUUUGGCUCUGCCAACAUGGAGGGAGCCCUAGUGUUUGCCCCCAGCUCCAUUGUGCCCCGCUCUGCCAUGGUCAACCUGACCGCCCACAUCCUGGGAAGAGCCUUCAACCUGCUGGAGAUUGACCUUCGUGUAGAAAAUGCAGAUCCCCUUCUCAGAAAGUUGUUUGGUCACCACGAAGCUGCCCCCUCGCAUGACGACUCUGGCCCUCAAACCCCCGUAGAUCCUGUCAUGAGGGAGAAGAGGAGCAGUGAGGGGACAGUAGAAUUCAAUGAUGAUGGACCACCGGGACAGGGGGAGAAGGGGGGCUGCCAGGCCAGGUCCUCUCAUCUAAGACAAGCUGGAGCUAUG